AUUGAACGCUGGCGGCAUGCCUUACACAUGCAAGUCGAACGGUAACGGGCCUUCGGGUGCCGACGAGUGGCGAACGGGUGAGUAAUGUAUCGGAACGUACCUUUCAGUGGGGGAUAACGUAGCGAAAGUUACGCUAAUACCGCAUAUUCUGUGAGCAGGAAAGCAGGGGAUCGCAAGACCUUGCGCUGAUUGAGCGGCCGAUAUCAGAUUAGCUAGUUGGUGAGGUAAAGGCUCACCAAGGCGACGAUCUGUAGCGGGUCUGAGAGGAUGAUCCGCCACACUGGAACUGAGACACGGUCCAGACUCCUACGGGAGGCAGCAGUGGGGGAAUUUUGGACAAUGGGGGCAACCCUGAUCCAGCCAUGCCGCGUGAGUGAAGAAGGCC
rnacentral:rRNA from 1 species